UACGUAGGUCGGCAAGCGUUGUCCGGAUUUACUGGGCGUAAAGAGCGCGCAGGCGGUCGUUCAAGUCGAGUGUGAAAAGCCCCCCGGCUCAACUGGGGAGGGUCACGCGAUACUGAUCGACUCGAAGGCAGGAGAGGGUAGUGGAAUUCCCGGUGUAGUGGUGAAAUGCGUAGAUAUCGGGAGGAACACCAGUGGCGAAGGCGACUACCUGGCCUGUUUCUUGACGCUGACGGCGCGAAAGCUAGGGGAGCAAACGGGGAUUAAGAAACCCGUGGUACGUCC
rnacentral:rRNA from 1 species